CUGACGCACCGAUAUUUGAUGCGACUCCGCAAAUCAAGUCUACUGGCGGCGUACAACAAGUGGCAGAAACAGACUUGCCUGACAGUGGUCCAUGCUUUGAUCAGACUCCAUCUGAACAUGUUUAUGUUGAAACCGAUCCAGCUACAAACACUCCACAGGUUGGCUAGGCUUCUCUUGAUUCGGAGAUGCAAACUGUGUUAGCUCUACACGAAUAUUUGUGUGGUCUGCAAUCUGACACCGGCAGGACCAUAAUAGAUUAUGGUGAAUAUUCAGCGACAUGUUCUGACAUAUAUGAAUCUUUUGCCGAUGGGAAGUGUCUCGACAAUGUAUUCAUGCAGUGUUUCAUCCAAUGUGUUAUUGAUGAUGCAAAAAAUCAGCAGACUUCCAUGAGUUCGAACAGUUUGGUUCUUGAUGUUAAUGUUGGGUCAAUACUCAACUUUGAGGAACAGGAACGACACAGUCGCAACCCUCAACCUUUUGAUGAAUCUGUACUCCACACACUUCUAGACAAUUCAUUGCCUGAGACAGAUGAAUUGGACCAAUGCAAAGCGAUCAUGGUCCCCAUGGUAAG